UAAGAUGAUGUUUUAGUUGUAAUGCAC
rnacentral:piRNA from 1 species